rnacentral:lncRNA from 1 species
ACCUAAAGCAAUCUAAGUAGAAACAUUAGAUUUUUUGACCCGUGUCUGGAUAUAAUGUACCUAAUCUGUCGUGGACAGACGCACAACAUAGGAUGGUAUUGUAGCGUCUGUCAAGACUGCGAUGCGAAGUCUAACGAGGAACGCCGAUUUGUUUCAUCACUGAUCAUUUGGACAAAUCCUGAUUUCCCAGGUAUUCACAUCUUUCACAUUUCAGAAGGGGAGAUGUGGCCCAGAGACCUGACUGAAACAUCUGUUUACGGGAUGGAGACUUGACUAAUCUCGUUACUACCUUUUUUCAUACAUCUCUUCCCAGAACCUUAUCGUGCAUCUGAUGCAAUUACGUAGUAUUUUAGUUUCGGGUGUCUGAGAUUAGUAUAUGCAUCUGUAGUAGAUCCUCUAUGUGAGACCAGGUAGUUGGAGAUCGGCUCCAAUGAGCAGCUAAGAAUGUAAGGUGAGGCAGACUGCUGUGUCCUGUAAUAGACUGUAAGGUGAGGCAGACUGCUGUGUCCUGUAAUAGACUGUAAGGUGAGGCAGACUGCUGUGUCCUGUAAUAGACUGUAAGGUGAGGCAGACUGCUGUGUCCUGUAAUA